rnacentral:rRNA from 1 species
UACGUAGGGUGCAAGCGUUGUCCGGAAUUAUUGGGCGUAAAGAGCUCGUAGGCGGUUUGUCGCGUCGGCUGUGAAAACUCGGGGGCUCAACCCCGAGCCUGCAGUCGAUACGGGCAAACUAGAGUGUGGUAGGGGAGACUGGAAUUCCUGGUGUAGCGGUGAAAUGCGCAGAUAUCAGGAGGAACACCGGCGGCGAAGGCGGGUCUCUGGGCCAUAACUGACGCUGAGGAGCGAAAGCGUGGGGAGCGAACAGG